CACCCAAGACCUACCGCAAGAGGAUAGCCUUGGUAACGUAUUCAUCUUUAUUAGUUCCAUAGAUUAUAUUAUUAUUAUAUGAUUCAAAUAUGAAUAAUUGGUAAUCUUAUUCAAGCAGCGCCAAGAACCAUGGUUUCAAGGGCAUGUCAUCCUGAACAGGCAAUUUCUUUUUCUGAUUUUGAAGCCAAAUGACAUACACCUUGUUUCAUAAGCAUCAGGAUUACAGCGGAAAAAAUAAGGAAAACGAUGGGUCCCUUUCCUCCCUUUCCACAAGGCCUUACAUCUGAUUUAAGAAUUCAAGUGUUUUUCCCAAGGAUCCACAGACAUUAAGAAACAGAGGCAAAUUGUGAAAUGCCUUUACGGUCA
rnacentral:lncRNA from 1 species